rnacentral:lncRNA from 1 species
UCCUAACUUCUUCAUCUUAACUCGGUUAUUUUUCUGUCCUGCAUGAUUUCAGAAUUCGGUUAUAACUUCACGAUAAAUUUUUCAAUUGACUGACACGCAAUGCGUCUCGACACUAUAUUGAUCAAUUGAACAAAAUAAUCACUCCCAUGAUUUCAUAUGCAAUUUUUUGUCAGGCAAGUUCCUCUAUCUUCUCAUAGUAUGCUUUAAUUUCAGUUGUUUUAUGUAAAAUUUUAGAGAUUUUGUUUUGUAAACGAAAAGUAAUUAAGCAACUUCAAUUCAUGCACAGAAGUGGAGAUUUUUACAAGCAUACAAGUUCUUUCCCUUACUAUAUAUGUAAGCUACAGAUUUUAUUAUUGUUGCAGGCUGUUACCGAUGAUGAUAUAUAUAUAUAUAUAUAUAUAUAUAUAUAUAUAUAUAUAUAUAUAUAUAUAUAUAUAUAUAACAAGGAUCAGGUCCGGGAGUCUGGACCUAAUCGAGAGUCCGGAUCUGAUAAAAAAUGGACCAAAUUUUUUAUUUUUUUUGCUUUUAAAUUUAAAACUAAAAAAAAUAUUUAAUAUUUUAUGAAACUGAAAUUUUUUUCAUAAUACAAUGUUUUGGGCGUGAUUUGGAUACCUAUACCAAAAAAUAUAUGUACAGUCUGCACAGACUGUACAUACAUGUUUUGUUAUAUGUAUCCAAAUCACACCCAAAACACUGUAUUAUGUAAAAAUUCAAGUUCCAUAAUUUUUUAUUUAAUUAUUUUUAGUUGUUUUAAAAAAAAAGCAAAAAAAUAAAUAAAUCCGGAUUUUAGUCUGUUCCGGGAGUUCGGACCUGAUCCGGCCUCUCUAUAUAUAUAUAUNNNNNNNNNNNNNNNNNNNNNNNNNNNNNNNNNNNNNNNNNNNNNNNNNNNNNNNNNNNNNNNNNNNNNNNNNNNNNNNNNNNNNNNNNNNNNNNNNNNNUAUGGAAUCUGGUAAGUUGAUGAUUCAUGAUAGUAAUCUUUUGAGUUGAUAACUUGAUAUGUAUAUCAUAUACUUGCCAGUUCGCUAUAGCGACUAUAGAACAGAAAGUCGUCAUAGCAUAUAUAUAUAUAACACUAUCAGGGAGAUAUCUUGUUUUCUAUGAAUAUUAACUGUAGGCCUUUUUUACACAAGGAAAAGAAAAAGGAGUGGUAGCAAUACAAUGAUAAUAUAUGUAGAUGCAAGAGAUGCUAGUUAUUCCCUCUAUUCUGCCUUAAAUAUUUGACUGUUUUGACUCCUUCCACACCUAAGUUUUUAAAGAAAAUAUUCUCGACUGACACUGAGCUGGCUGCAUCUCUCCUAUAUACUCUUUUGUUAGACAUUCAUAGAAAUUGGUAUUACAAGCGGUUACACGGGUCAUAAUAAACCCCCUGCGAAAAAGAAUAGAUACAGAUGGUUAGAAAACAGCUCCUAUUCGAUGAGUUUUCGGUAGAAAAGGAUAAAGGGUCUAGUACUUACUCAAACAUAAUGAUUGCUUUGUCAAUAGAAGCUUAUGUCAGGACCGCUUCCACUUUAACUGGUUUUAAACUUCUUAUAGCUCUCCGUAUAUGCUCAAAUGCCAAGACAAGGAGGCCAAAGAGGUACAGAAGGAAAAUAUAUAGCUUUUCGACAAUGCCAAAUAUCAAAUUUGUAUUGCUUCCUCCCUCGGGAUUUCUUUUGUAUAAUGAUAUUCUUGUCACUAUCCACCCUACAAAGGAUGAGAGUUUAUUAUAAGCACAUGAUGGGAUUUGUUAAAGAUGAUCUUGAAAACUAAUACAAAAGCCAGUACAAAAGAUGAUGUUUAGAGGAUCUCUUGUUCCAAGUCACUGUAGUUCUCAUCUGGUCUGUUUAAACUUUCACCAUUCUGCUUCUGUUAUCAGAAUCACGAGUUUUAUGAAACAAGGGUUCCUUAAAUCAAAUGCCAUCAACAAGAACAAUACCUAGUAAAUCUCAUUACACGUCCGUUGGUAUGAGGGUAAGGUACGGUAGGGUUUUAUGGUCCACAAGACCAUUCCAUGUUUACUAGUGAGACCAACUGAGCUUUUCAAGUGAAAAACUCACAAAGGGAGAGAACAUGAGCUCAGGCAACUUCAUGCCAUAGCCUUUAGGAAAUCAGGGUUUUAGUAGGUGAUAUUGGUGGACCCACCUACUAACAUAUGAACAUUCUAAAAAGGAACCAAUGCGGAAAAAACACGUUCAUAUUCAGUUUGUGAUUCUUACCUGGGCUGGGCUGGGGCAAAUUAGUCCAUUCGAGUGGGUCUAUCUCACUUUCUGAUGCCCUGAUCAACUCAAGAAGAGCUUCAUUGACCUGAGCAAUAAAAAGUUAAUUCUACUGCAAAUUUGGAUUUUUAAAAUAAGUUCUAUGACAAUCUUUCUAUUACGAAAGAAAAAAAAAUCAAUAACUAUUUGUCUUAUUGCUGAAUGACGCAUAUUUUUUCUUCUUUUUUAGUAAAUCCUCAAGAAUCCCAUCUACUGAUACCCGAUCUUUAUACUCACAUAAUUCUAGAAUACAAGGUUCCAACAAUGCCAAUAAAUGUAUAGCUACUUGUAUAAAUUAAUCACAAACAGCGUAUUUACCUCUGCAGUCCUCUCAUGACUCACAAGAUGCCCACCAUGAAGUUCUACCAUUCUAGCAAAAGGGUACAGUCUCUCUGCAAGUCUCCUUGCAUGGCGUAACUGAGCAAUAACAUCAUCCCUAGACGUCCAAAAGACUCGUCUCAGUUAUCUAAGCAGAUAUGGUUAGGUGAAAAGAAUGAAUACUAAGUCUUUGAGAUUAGAAUUAUACCUG